rnacentral:rRNA from 1 species
CCCUUAGAUGUCCUGGGCCGCACGCGCGCUACACUGAGUGUCUGAGAUACGAGUCUGCCUGGUCCGGCAAGGUCUAGGUAAUCGCUAAAAGACACAUCAUGCUUGGGAUAGAUUAUUGCAAAUAUUAAUCUUGAACGAGGAAUUCCUAGUAAGCGCAAGUCAACAGCUUGCGUUGAUUACGUCCCUGCCCUUUGUACACACCGCCCGUCGCUACUACUGAUUGGAUGUGUAAGCGAGGUUCUCGAACUGCUAGCGACUUAGCUUCGGUGAGGUCGCAGUGUGGGAAGUGAACCUAGCUUUGGUGUCUAGAGGAAGUAAAAGUCGUAACA